GACGAACGCUGGCGGCGUGCUUAACACAUGCAAGUCGAACGGAAAGGCUCCAGCUUGCUGGAGUACUCGAGUGGCGAACGGGUGAGUAACACGUGGGUAAUCUGCCCUGCACUCUGGGAUAAGCCUGGGAAACUGGGUCUAAUACUGGAUAUGACCUUUCUCCUUAUGGGGUUUGGUGGAAAGUUUUUCGGUGUAGGAUGAGCCCGCGGCCUAUCAGCUUGUUGGUGGGGUGAUGGCCUACCAAGGCGACGACGGGUAGCCGGCCUGAGAGGGUGAUCGGCCACAUUGGGACUGAGAUACGGCCCAGACUCCUACGGGAGGCAGCAGUGGGGAAUAUUGCACAAUGGGCGGAAGCCUGAUGCAGCGACGCCGCGUGAGGGAUGACGGCCUUCGGGUUGUAAACCUCUUUCAGCAGGGACGAAGCGUAAGUGACGGUACCUGCAGAAGAAGCACCGGCUAACUACGUGCCAGCAGCCGCGGUAAUACGUAGGGUGCGAGCGUUGUCCGGAAUUACUGGGCGUAAAGAGCUCGUAGGCGGUUUGUCACGUCGUCUGUGAAAUCCUAGGGCUUAACCCUGGACGUGCAGGCGAUACGGGCUGACUUGAGUACUACAGGGGAGACUGGAAUUUCUGGUGUAGCGGUGGAAUGCACAGAUAUCAGGAAGAACACCGAUGGCGAAGGCAGGUCUCUGGGUAGUAACUGACGCUGAGGAGCGAAAGCAUGGGUAGCGAACAGG
rnacentral:rRNA from 2 species